ACCGACAUGAGUUGUGUAUUCUCUCUUUAAUUUCUCCACCACCCAUAGGUCAUAACAUUUACUGACUGAAAAUGGUUAUGGGCCAUUGGGACCUUCCUCUGCACAUGGGAAGAAAUGUAGUCUUCUGGGGUGAGAGGAGAUAUAGAAACCGAAACUAAGAAAAAUCUGAUAACUAAGCCAGAUGACAGAGAAGACAAUGUUUACUGAUAAGGAGGAAUACCUCUGACUCUUAACUGAAAAUUUGCAUGAAAGACCCAUAGAAUGUCCCAGGGGGUGUUGACUCACACCCCUUGGCUGACGAUCCCUCCACAUCUGCACUGGUAUUCAUGUAGCAGCAGGAUGUGCAGGUGAUUUGUGCUCUGUAGAACAAUUUGAAGAACUGUCGGGUGUAUAGCUGAAAAAGGAAAAAAAAAUCACUCAUUUUGGAUGACAUCCAUGAAAGCAUUGCCAAUCUUGAUGUCAUGGUUUUUGUCAAGAAGAAAAAGGGGACACUAACAGACUGCUUUGUUAAAAAAUAUAUAUUAUGGCAAUAAUAGAUAUUCAUCAAUUCAAUACAUUUGAAAUUAAAAUCAAAAGCACAAGUUCCCAUUUUUCUUUGAUCAACCUCAUUUCCUAAAGGUCCCAGGAGGCUGAACCUUCCCUUCUGGCUGUAUGUAGCCCAUGGAAAGCUUGGCAGAUUUGGGGUGUAUGAAGAAGCCAUGGCAUUUUUCCUACUCCCUUUCUCUCUGAGCUGUAUUAUAUAGAAAUAACUGAGCUCUUCUGUAAAGAUAGUUCCUGAUGAAUGGCUCCUCCACCAUCUCUCCACUCCAGUUCUAGGGCCAUACUGCUUUCCUUUAGAGUUGAUAAUGGCUUCCCACUGUUGCUAGCCUCUGUGUCUCACCAUCCCUGUUUCCUCAAACCAGUGGUAGGCUGGUAAAUUUUAGUAUUUGGCAGUUCUAGGGGGGUGGGGACUCCCACAAUGACUGAUUUCAAGAUACCAACCUGAAAUGACUGAAUGUAAUACUGGGAAGAAUUAUGGACAGUCAACUCUUGAGAGGUGUUGUGAGCCAGCUCCAAAACAACACCACCCUUAUCCAUCCUGGCAACUAUCACAUUGGAACAUAAAAAUAAUAAUUACCAAGUCAAAAAUAUUAACAGCAUGGCGGCAAGCAUCCUUUCAUAUAUAUUUUUCAUAAUGUACAAAUAUUGUCUACAUAGAAUGAAAUGUAGUCAUAAAAAGAAUGAAAAUUUGUUGUUUGCUACAACAUGGAUGAAUAUUCAUUGAAAGGACUGAUGCUGAAGCUGAAGCUCCACUACUUUGGCCAUCUGAUGUGAAGAGCUCACUCGUUAGAAAAGACCCUGAUGCUGGGAAAAAUUGAAGACAGGAGGAGAAGGGGACGGCAGAGGAUGAGAUGGUUGGAUGGCAUCACCGACUCAACGGACAUGAGUUUGAGCAGGCUCCAGGAGGUGUUGAAGGACAGGGAGGCCUGGUGUUCUGCAGUCCAUGGGGCUGCAAAGAGUUAGACACGACUGAGCAACUCAACAGCAACAGCAACUUGGGUGGACCCAAAAGGCAUUGCACUUAGUGAAAUAAUUCAGAGAAAGAUAAAUGUUGUAGCUUUUCGCUACUAUGUGAAAUCUAAGAAACAAAACAAAUAAACAAAUAUCACAAAACA
ensembl:lncRNA